rnacentral:rRNA from 1 species
GAUGAACGCUGGCGGCGUGCCUAAUACAUGCAAGUCGAACGAACAGAUGAGGAGCUUGCUCCUCUCACGUUAGCGGCGGACGGGUGAAAAACGCGUGUAUCCCCUCCCUAUCAGACUGGGAUAACUUCGGGACACCGGCGCUAAUACCGUAUAAUAUCUUGAUCCGCAUGGUUCGAUAGAAAAAGACGGUUUUGCUGGCACUUCUAGCUGGAUCCGGGCCGCAUUAGCUAGUUGGUAAGGUAACGGCUUACCAAGGCGACGAUGCGUGGACGACCUCAUGGGGUGGUCGGCCGCACUGGAGCUGGACCACGGACCAGACUCCUACGAGAGGCAGCAGUAGGGAAUGGGCCGCAGUGGGCGGAAGCCUGACGGAGCAACGCCGCGUGAGUUAUGACGGUCUUCGGAUCGUAAAACUCUGUUAUUAGUUAUGAACAAAUGUGGACGUAACUAUGCACGUCGUGACGGUACCGGAUCAGGAAGCCCCGGCUAACUACGUG